rnacentral:tRNA from 2 species
CGGGGUGUGGCGCAGCCUGGUAGCGCACACGCUUGGGGUGCGUGUGGUCGCCGGUUCAAAUCCGGCCACCCCGACCA